rnacentral:rRNA from 1 species
UACGUAGGGUGCAAGCGUUGUCCGGAAUUAUUGGGCGUAAAGAGCUUGUAGGCGGUUUGUCGCGUCUGCUGUGAAAUUUCGGGGCUCAACCCCGAACUUGCAGUGGGUACGGGCAGACUAGAGUGUGGUAGGGGAGACUGGAAUUCCUGGUGUAGCGGUGAAAUGCGCAGAUAUCAGGAGGAACACCGAGGGCGAAGGCAGGUCUCUGGGCCAUAACUGACGCUGAGAAGCGAAAGCAUGGGGAGCGAACAGG